CCCUUAGAUGUUCUGGGCUGCACGCGCGCUACACUGAUGCGAUCAACAAGUUUUUCCCAUGUCGAUAGACACGGGUAAUCUUUUGAACUCGCAUCGUGGUGGGGAUAGAUUAUUGUAAUUAUUAAUCUUCAACGAGGAAUUCCUAGUAGGUGCAAAUCAUCAGUUUGCAUCGAUUACGUCCCUGCCCUUUGUACACACCGCCCGUCGCUGCUACCGAUUGGUUGAUCUGGUGAAUUAUUCGGACUGCCGGCUGAAGGGGUUUCCUCAUCUGCCAGCGGAAAGUCUUGUUAACCCUAUCAACUAGAGGAAGCAGAAGUCGUAACA
rnacentral:rRNA from 1 species